UGCGUUAUGAAAUAUCUGAGAGACAUUUCAAUGCUAAGAUGAAUUAAAAAUAGUCCGUCUAUGAUCAUCGUUUGACAAUAAUCAAGGAUCAAGAGAAGCUUGAGAAGCUCGAUAUGACCAUGUAUAAGGAAUUGUAAGUGGAUUGGAUCCGAUAAUCCCUUACUAGUUCGUAUGGGUAGUUUAUAGUAAACUACCAUAUGAACUGGAUUGA
rnacentral:lncRNA from 1 species